GACGAACGCUGGCGGCGUGCUUAACACAUGCAAGUCGAACGAAGUGGCGAACGGGUGAGUAACGCGUUAUCAACCUGUCCUUUAGAGGGGGACAACAGUUGGACACGACUGCUAAUACCGCAUCCUGAAGCAGGGGAUUUCGUCUGAUUAGCUAGUUGGAGGGGUAACGGCCCACAAAGGCGAUGAUCAGUAGCCGGUCUGGGAGGAUGAACGGCCACAUUGGGACUGGGACACGGCCCAGACUCCUACGGGAGGCAGCAGUGGGGAAUCUUCCGCAAUGGACGAAAGUCUGACGGAGCAACGCCGGGUGAGUGAUGACGGCCUUCGGGUUGUAAAGCUCUGUUAAUCGGGACGCGGUACCGGAAUAGAAAGCCACGGCUAACUACGUGCCAGCAGCCGCGGUAAUAC
rnacentral:rRNA from 1 species